rnacentral:lncRNA from 1 species
UGUAUCUCCGAGAAAUGUAUAAAAUAAUCGAGAGCGGCGGAGGCAGGUCAGAGCCGCCUGGAAUGCGCGCACCUCCAACGAACAAUGCCAACAUUGAAGGCCUCGGUUGGAGUCUGCACAGUUGGAGAUCUUUGGUGCCACUUUAGACAUCUUUGGAUUUCAUCAAUCAAAUUGACUGCAAUUUUCCAUAAAAACCCUGAAUUUGGGUCAGAAAGUGGGCAAAGUAGAUAAAGAUCAUUCGAGCUGUCUUAUAAGAUGAUAAAUAGAUAUCCUUUCAGGCCAACAAUGCCAAAGUGCAGUUUUGUGAUUCCCUUCCAUGGGUUCUGAAUGCAGUGAGUCGAAACGAUUUAUACAUGUUUUCCCAUGGUCCAGGACACGUCUUUACAUACUCG